AGUGAACGCUGGCGGUAGGCCUAACACAUGCAAGUCGAACGGCAGCACAGUAAGAGCUUGCCCUUACGGGUGGCGAGUGGCGGACGGGUGAGGAAUACAUCGGAAUCUACUUUUUCGUGGGGGAUAACGUAGGGAAACUUACGCUAAUACCGCAUACGACCUACGGGUGAAAGCAGGGGAUCUUCGGACCUUGCGCGAUUGAAUGAGACGAUGUCGGAUUAGCUAGUUGGCGGGGUAAAGGCCCACCAAGGCGACGAUCCGUAGCUGGUCUGAGAGGAUGAUCAGCCACACUGGAACUGAGACACGGUCCAGACUCCUACGGGAGGCAGCAGUGGGGAAUAUUGGACAAUGGGCGCAAGCCUGAUCCAGCCAUGCCGCGUGGGUGAAGAAGGCCUUCGGGUUGUAAAGCCCUUUUGUUGGGGAAGAAAAGCAGCAGGUUAAUACCCCGCUGUUCUGACGGUACCCAAAGAAUAAGCACCGGCUAACUUCGUG
rnacentral:rRNA from 1 species